UUUUGUUUUGUUUUGUGUGAGUGCUAUGUAUCUCCUAUAUACAUGCCUCGUUUGUUUUGUCUUUUCCAGGGAUGACAUCAUGUGCUUUUAUGCACUAUUCCCUGUGUUUUGUGUUUUGUUGCGAUGACGUCCAAUUUAUAUUGUGGCCAGCGACAUUUUUGUUCUGUGGUUUUUAACCCAGACAUUUUUUCUAGGGAUGACAUGUGUUGAAAUAUACACUUUCCCUAGGGCCCACUGGAUGGCUAUUCCAGAAAAUAUGUUAGUAAUGGCCGAAAUAGCCUUACAACGUUACUGGGGAAUCGAGUACCACUGGUUCACAGUUGGGACUCUAUGGGGAAUUUUGAAUGCAGGUGGCAAGCAGUGUAAUUUGAAACUGAUGCUUACAGGUAUGAAAGAGAGGUUUGAAAGAUGAUUGUUUGUUAGUGUUGGGUUUUAUUUAUGCUCGGACAGCAGAGAUUGUUUUAGGUUUGAAGAACAUCAGUCCUGGUAGUUGGUUUUCAUCUGGUUUGUUUUGCUUAGUGAAAAGUCAGUUUGUUUUUGUUCCUGUUAUGUCAGCAUACCCUACAACUCGUUGUUUGUUUUCUAGAUUUUUUUUUUCAGUUGAAGUUUCUGCUGGAAUGUUUUCUUUUUGAGGUCUUUCUGCGUUUAGACACAUUUUUUUUCUUUUUCAGUUUGUAGUUCGCUGAGGGCAGCUCAGAUUCUUUCUCCGUGCGAAUGUCUAGGGGGGAGGGUAUUGUAACGUUGCCGUUUGCUGUUUUUUCACAAAUUAAUAUUUCUUCUCAAUAUUCUGAUUUUGGAUACCACUAGCGACAUCUAUUGGCGUGAUUUAGAAUUAAUUUGCAAUAGAUGGCGCUUUUUGCUCAGUUAAUUGAAAUAUACUUUGAUGAAACAUUUCCUAGUGUUUUUAUAUUGAUUAUUCUAUUUUUCAAAUAGAAUAUUUUCAGUGUUCUGGAAAUUGUUUUCAUCAUGGUUUUAUUAGUACAGUAUUUACUUUUUCAAACGGCGAAACGAAACGUAUCGCGAUGUCUAUGACAGAGCGGCUGUCAGUGGAGCUGUCAAAUCACUUAGGAAUUUGUCGAUCGUGCGCAACCGCAAUUUGAUUAUUUUCGGGAAUGUAAUUCCUUUUAUUUCAAAUCGGGUGGUGCAAAAUGCAUCCACGAUAAUUUCUUGAUGAAUAAAUAAAAAUAACACACAUGAGGUAAGUUCCCGUCGGAGAAUUUAUUUAUUUUUCGUGAUUGAUAUUUUUCGUAUUCCAGUACGUGGUAUUUUAUGUGAUCGUUUCUUUCAGAGAUUCCCUAAAUCCUAUUCGGAUGAGGGUGGGUUGCUGAAAACUGCGAGUGAAGCUUAAAUUAGCGAACAGUUUUCAUGCGGGAUUUCAUAUUUUACACUAUUUUUAUAGACAUUUUAGAUAUUUCAAUAUUUCAUAUUGAUUUCUCAUCAUUUGGUAUAAAUUAUUUCUCCUUUCUAAACUGCUGAUCUCUUCGCAUUUCCUCCUUGUCAUCAAACCUCUGUCUCUGCAAGAGUUUGAACGCUUUCCUGUCGAGGAGACGCAAGAGCUUCAUCUGGCACUGCGCGCUUGAGGCCGUGGAGGACGCUGCUUGUAACCUAAAAGUGUGUGAGACCCGUUGGACCCCGGAAGAAGAGAGGAACGUUCAGGGUAACGGCUUAUAACCGCAUGGCUUCCAAGGUACCCACUUUUCCAUCCUUCAAGUAGGAGUCUUUCCGACCUGACUUCGCGCAGUUAUCUUAACUAGUAGAGUCUUUUAAUAUUUAGGCUGAGUUUUAAGAAAUUUGUAGUGGCAAUAAUAUUCACCAAACCGAACCUAAUUAACGACCCUGAAUCCCUUGAGAUUGGCACUAUUACAGUAGUUAUUAUAAUAUCGUAAUUGUUAACUUUAUACGAGCAUACGAGAUAAAAAUAAAUUGUGUCAAUUGA